AUUGAACACUGGCGGCAUGCCUUACACAUGCAAGUCGAACGUUAACAGGUCUUCUGAUGCUGACGAGUGGCGGACGGUUGCGUAAUACAUCGGAACGUGCCCGAUCGUGGGGGAUCACGGAGCGAACGCUUUGCUAAUACCCCAUACGAUCUACGGAUAGAAGCAGGGGACCGCACGGCCUUCCCCGGGCGGCGCAGCCGAUGGCAGAUUAGGUAGUUGGUGGGAUAAAAGCUUACCAAGCCGACGAUCUGUAGCUGGUCUGAGAGGACGACCAGCCACACUGGGACUGAGACACGGCCCAGACUCCUACGGGAGGCAGCAGUGGGGAAUUUUGGACAAAGGGCGAAAGCCUGAUCCAGCCAUGCCGCGUGCAGGAUGAAGGCCUUCGGGUUGUAAACUGCUUUUGUACGGAACGAAAAGACUCUUUCUAAUAAAGAGGGUCCAUGACGGUACCGCAAGAAUAAGCACCGGCUAACUACGUG
rnacentral:rRNA from 1 species